CCUCGCGUUCCCCGCCAGAUGAUGCUCCGCCGCUCCCCGCCCUCCCUCCGCCUCCUGCCGAGCCCCUCGCUGAGCACCGACCCGCGUGCAAAUGAAUUAACUACACCCAAUAUACGCAAGACUUUGGGAUAUCUUUUAUUGGUGAUCCUGUGAGACAUCCCUGAGCGUUUCCUGCCCUGUUUACAAGCAAACAGCCUGAAACCCUGCAGUGACACUCUGCAACUGCUGAGGAGAUACAGAGAUGAUCAACAAUCCACAUCUUUAAACUGAAGCGGGAAGCUGAUAUUCAGGUCUGAAAGUGGCACCUGGAUCUCCCUCUGUAAGAACAGCACAAACACUGGACUGUGUGAAUGGGUGCACAGCUGCCCUGUUGGCAAAUUCCCACUGUGCCUCUCCCUAUCAGAAGUGACUCGGCAGCUCUGUUGAAAACACAAUGUAUGUUCUCACAAAUGUAUGUUCUCACUGAUAAAAAUGUAUGUUCUCACUGAUAAAAAUGUAUGUUCUCACUGAUAAGCAUUUUAAGCCCCUGAUUUGACAGAAGUUUAUAUAUAGUCCUGUUAAAGGGGAGAGUUGUAACUACAAUAUCAAAUUAAUUCCUGCAAAGUCCUGGUGUCCAGAGGCUGAUCAGUUUUUACCUGGCUUGUACCAGUUGUACCAGUCCUCUGAGAAAACAUCACCAGUUUUGCCACAUG